UCCUACGGGGAGCAGCAGUGGGGAAUCUUAGACAAUGGGCGCAAGCCUGAUCUAGCCAUGCCGCGUGUGUGAUGAAGGCCUUAGGGUCGUAAAGCUCUUUCGCCAGAGAUGAUAAUGACAGUAUCUGGUAAAGAAACCCCGGCUAACUCCGUGCCAGCAGCCGCGGUAAUACGGAGGGGGUUAGCGUUGUUCGGAAUUACUGGGCGUAAAGCGUACGUAGGCGGAUCAGAAAGUAGGGGGUGAAAUCCCAGGGCUCAACCCUGGAACUGCCUCCUAAACUCCUGGUCUUGAGUUCGAGAGAGGUGAGUGGAAUUCCAAGUGUAGAGGUGAAAUUCGUAGAUAUUUGGAGGAACACCAGUGGCGAAGGCGGCUCACUGGCUCGAUACUGACGCUGAGGUACGAAAGUGUGGGGAGCAAACAGGAUUAGAUACCCUGGUAGUCCACACCGUAAACGAUGAAUGCCAGUCGUCGGGCAGUAUACUGUUCGGUGACACACCUAACGGAUUAA
rnacentral:rRNA from 1 species